rnacentral:rRNA from 1 species
AGUGAACGCUGGCGGUAGGCCUAACACAUGCAAGUCGAACGGCAGCACAGUAAGAGCUUGCUCUUACGGGUGGCGAGUGGCGGACGGGUGAGGAAUACAUCGGAAUCUACUUUUUCGUGGGGGAUAACGUAGGGAAACUUACGCUAAUACCGCAUACGACCUACGGGUGAAAGCAGGGGAUCUUCGGACCUUGCGCGAUUGAAUGAGCCGAUGUCGGAUUAGCUAGUUGGCGGGGUAAAGGCCCACCAAGGCGACGAUCCGUAGCUGGUCUGAGAGGAUGAUCAGCCACACUGGAACUGAGACACGGUCCAGACUCCUACGGGAGGCAGCAGUGGGGAAUAUUGGACAAUGGGCGCAAGCCUGAUCCAGCCAUACCGCGUGGGUGAAGAAGGCCUUCGGGCUGUAAAGCCCUUUUGUUGGGAAAGAAAAGCAGCAGGUUAAUAACCCGCUGUUCUGACGGUACCCAAAGAAUAAGCACCGGCUAACUUCGUG